GGAGAUAUGAUGGUGUGAAACUCAAGGACAAGGCUGCUCCUGGUGGCCCAGGCUCUGGGCAAGCGCAGCAGGCCUGAACCCUGGGCUUCCUUCAUUCCCACACCCAUUAAUGCAGACGAGGGGCCUGAGGAUAACAGUCAUCCCAGCACUAGCGGAGCUCCAGUCAUGCCCAUUUAACAGAUGACGACGCUGAGGCUCAGAGGUGGGGAGUGACCUGCCCAGGAUUAUUCAGCAAGGACGUGGCAGUCAGGACUUGAGCUGGUGUCUCCAGACUCCAAAUCUAGUACUCCUCCUUCUCCCGCAUGCUGCCUGUCACAUGCCUACAUGCUGGGCUCUGUGCUGGGGUCGACAACUUAAAUGAGACCAGCCCCUGCCCUUGAGGCAAGGCUGGGAUUUCUGUGCCUGUAGUGGGAGUUACGUGCUCUGCUGAUGGCAGGCUCUGGUCUGUCUCUGUGGUCUCCGGGGUUGGGACGCUUCCCUGCCCUUUCUUUCUGGCAGAUGAGGCCCCUCUGCUGGUGGAGGGCAAUCAGAGGUGAGCCAACUUCCAGCUCUUUGUCUCUGCUGGGUGUCUUUGGGCCCCAGCCAAACGAUGCAGGCAUCAGUGGCUGAGUCUGAGCCACUAAGCAUCUGUAUCCCGUGUGCUAAGCACAGGGCCAGGUACAAGGUAUCUGCCCAGUUCCUACCCACCCAUUAACAGCCAGCCUGAAUAUCCUAAGAUACCGACCACCCCCUCACCUGGUUCUUAUGGCACUGGGGGCAGAUCUGCAUGAACCUUUUCCUGAUCACUCUUGUCCCCCACUCAGGACAGCCCAUCCCUCUCCUCUGCGCCCUGAGCACACCCCUCACCCUGGGGGCCCUUUCCUGCUUAUAUCUGUCUCCUUACAAGCAGGUGGGAUCCUGGAGGGAAGGGGCCACAUCAUUGUCAUCUGUCUAUUUCCUGUGUCUAGCUCAGGGCCCCUGGCACAGAGGAGGGAGAGGCUCAGGAAAUGUUUGCUAAAUUAAUAAUAAUAACACGAAUAAUAGCAAACAUAUCAUACCUGCGAUGUGCCAGGCUGUUUUAGGCAGUUGGCAUACAUUAACUUAUGUAGUCUCUACAUGGUCUGUACUAUUAUUAUUCCCAUUUUGUAAAUGAAGACACAGAAGCACAGAGGAGGGAGUAAGCAAUUUACCCAAGGUCACCCAGGCGAUAAGUGGCAAAGCCUGGAUUUGAACGAGGUGAUCUUGCUCCAGAGCUGGGCUUUACCCACCCCACUGCCCUGCCUUGAGGGAGGGAGGAGGAGUUAAGGGUUAUUUUGCCAGCCACCUUUUUGGGAAGCACCCCUUCCCUGGAGCUAUUUGUCGGCUCCAAAUCCUUUCUGAUUCACCUCUGCCUCCCCAGAAAAGGUGUUUCAAUACUCCUUGUGCAGACAAAGGGAAUGAGGCACAGAGAGGCGAGGUGACUAGCCCAAGGCACACAGCUGGCAAGUCAUGGGGCUGGGACUCAAGCCCAGGCUAUGGCCUCGCAGCUGCUCCGCCUCAGCAGCAAGGGCUGGCUCUGUCUAUCCUUUCUCCAGGUCCUAGGGAAGAGGAUGGGAUGCAAAGGAGGUUGUUUAUCCAGGAUUGAAACUGAUGAGACACUGCAGUGUGUAGGCCAAGAGGCAGACGGGCCCGGGUACACGACCGAGCAAGUCACUCAGUAUCUCUGAACCUCAGUUUCUUCUUCUAUAAAAUGCAGACAAUGAAAGGAGCCCCCAGCCCGUGUGGUUAUUGUGACAAUGAACUGAGAAUAUAUCCAAGGCACACAGCAAGGGCAGCACGCAUGGGGAUAGGCAGAGUGGCCGCCACUUUUUGUGCCAGACCUCGGGCCCCCAGGCCCAACUGCUGGUUUAGCUCAGCCCAGGGACUCGCCGAGCCGGGGCCCCAGCCCCUGCCUCCCUCUGCCAGGCAGGCCUGGCCUGUCACGCAUAAGCUGCCAAUCCCUCCGAGACCUCUGCCCGCAACAGCAACAAUAAGGGAAGAUUAUCAGCAGAAACACCCGGUGAUUUGGCUUAGCAGCUUCUGGGAAACCGAUCAGAGGAAGAAAUUGAAUUGGACUUGGCUGGCUUGACAGAUAUACUGGCUGUGGGGCUUGGGUGCCAAGUGACUCAACUGGCAGAAGGUCAUGGGUGAGGGCGGCACUCCCACAGGCUGGGCUGGGUGUGUCUCCCUGGGGGUCUGACUGCUUUGCCUGCAGAGGCCCCUGCACAGCACAGCACUGGUUGGCCAAGAGACCCCAGUCUCCGAGGCGGGGAGGCUGUGGCUGGGGGAAGUUCUCCAGGGCUCCUAGGGAAAACAGCUGUGAGGACCAGCAGGCAAAGGGUGGGUUUCAGGGACUGUUGGGGGAAUGGUCUGGGAAAGAGGCCGGGGACCUGGGAUGGGAGUCUGGAGUGUGCUCAGUGCGGGAAGCGAGCGCCUGCGUGCUGUGUGGCAACAAAGGGAAACCGAGUGCAUGGGGGAUUUGCUUUCUUCUGCUGAUGGGAGAGAUGGAAUAAAACCUGCCUGCUGGAGGGGGAAGCAGAAGGGACCCAUGGCUGACAGCAUACAUCCUCCACGCACUCAGUGGGGAAUGAAGCUGCCACUGCCCCAAGACACAGGCUGGAGACAAGGCAGUUUUGGCCAAACCCUCUUCAACUCCAGUAGCUGGGAAAGAGCUGGCCACCCCUGGUAGUGAGGAAUGGGGUGCAAGAGCCAGGAAGACUCAGGUGAAAAGCCACGCUCCAUCUGUGGCAAUGUGAACAGGAGUAAGGGACUCGAGCUCCACGGGCCACCAUCUCCUUGCUUAUGUAAUGGGGUGGUUUCUUUCUGACUGCCCUGCAUGGAAGCCAGCACUAAACUAAGUACAAGAGAUGCAGCAGACAACAAGAACAUCCAGCCCACGUCCUCAUGGUGCUGACAGCCUAGCUGGAGGGGACAGUGACCAAGUGAUCUCUGAAGGGCCCAGCACAGAGGUCCCCAUGCUGACCGUAAGCCACCGAUGGGGUGAUACUGUACACAGACAGUGUACAUUUGAAAGAACUCCCAAGGGGGUCAGACUUGGCCCAGCCCGGAAGCCUGCAUGUGCUGUUCUUCCUAUCUGGGUGCCUCUCUCUCUCUUCCUGUCCAUGGUUAACAUUUUCAUUAUGGCUGACAAAGAGCUUUACUUCUCAUCCCCCAUGCCCACAUCCUCCACAAAACUAGAUGCCUUCUUCUGGACAGCCUGCUCUGUCUGUCUUUAGCAUCUCAUUGUCAUCCGGUCACCCAAAUACCUCUCACCCAAAGAACCCCAGAAGCAGAACUCACGGCGGCCUGAUGGCACACUGGAUUCUACAAUAGCUUCUCUUUUCAGCAUGUUGGACCUGCCCACAUUAACUUCCCCAUUGUCUUGAUUUCCCCAAGUUACAAACUCUAUAGGCUGUGCCACUGCUGUCUGCAGCUCCCAUGGCACCGAUUCCAGGGCCUCGCACUUAGUAGACACACAGUAAACACUGCCGACUUAACAAGUGAGUUCAUAAUGUGACCGCUAAGCUAGCUCUCGGAAAGGAUGUAGUGGGGAGGCCAGAAUGGACACUGAGAGACCCCAGUCAGAGUCAAGGCCCUGCCACAUCUAGCAAGGUACCACCUCCACCAGCUUCACUUUCCCUGUCUCAAAGAUGGGGUAAUGUGGGAGGGACGCUAUCACCGGUGAAAGUUCUUUCAAAUGCAUGGUGCCACUCGAGCCACAUGAUGACCCAGUGAUGUGGUGGUUAAUUCCAAGUUCCUGUCCCACCAGCAGGGGUAUGGCAUGAUCUGCUCACCUACCCUCACCUAUGCUGAACAGGACUUGGGAAAAACACUCAAUAUUUUAAGAGUGUGUUGGCCGGGCACCGUGGCUCAAGCCUGUAAUCCCAGCACUUUGG
rnacentral:lncRNA from 1 species